rnacentral:rRNA from 1 species
CCUACGGGCGGCAGCAGUGGGGAAUAUUGGACAAUGGGGGGAACCCUGAUCCAGCCAUGCCGCGUGUGUGAAGAAGGCCCUCGGGUUGUAAAGCACUUUCAGUGAGGAAGAACGCCUGGUGGUUAAGACCCAUCAGGAAAGACAUCACUCACAGAAGAAGCACCGGCUAACUCCGUGCCAGCAGCCGCGGUAAUACGGAGGGUGCGAGCGUUAAUCGGAAUUACUGGGCGUAAAGCGCGCGUAGGUGGCUUGAUAAGCCGGUUGUGAAAGCCCCGGGCUCAACCUGGGAACGGCAUCCGGAACUGUCAAGCUAGAGUGCAGGAGAGGAAGGUAGAAUUCCCGGUGUAGCGGUGAAAUGCGUAGAGAUCGGGAGGAAUACCAGUGGCGAAGGCGGCCUUCUGGACUGACACUGACACUGAGGUGCGAAAGCGUGGGUAGCAAACAGGAUUAGAUACCCUUGUAGUC